UACAGGGGGGGCAAGCGUUGUUCGGAAUUACUGGGCGUAAAGGGCUCGUAGGUGGCCAACUAAGUCAGACGUGAAAUCCCUCAGCUUAACUGGGGAACUGCGUCCGAUACUGGAUGGCUUGGAUUUGGGAGAGGGAUGCGGAAUUCCAGGUGUAGCGGUGAAAUGCGUAGAUAUCUGGAGGAACACCGGUGGCGAAGGCGGCAUCCUGGACCAAUAUUGACACUGAGGAGCGAAAGCCAGGGGAGCAAACGGG
rnacentral:rRNA from 1 species